rnacentral:lncRNA from 1 species
GUAUAAGCUCAUGUAGGAUCAGCCAUGUCUUCCUUCUGUGUGUUUCCUGUAGUAACUUGUAUGGUGAUAAGGACAUUCAAGGGCUCCAAAUGACUACUGACUUAGCUUCUCAGCUUCCUAACAUCUGUGGAGGCAUUGUAUUUGGGGCAAGAAACAAUACUCCAUUUAAAGUGCUGAUAUGCUUCAAAACAACCAAAAAAGGUCAAGAAACGAUUCUGGAAGGAAAACACCUAGCGAGGCUGGCUCAAAGAAUGAAGCACUGGUGGGGUUGUGACAACUUUGGCCUUGUGUCUCAUGAGGCCGCCUCAUUAUUCUUGACCUUGCAACACUGCUGACCACUUCAACAGACCUAAAAGAACAGUACAUGGGGC